rnacentral:piRNA from 1 species
UACAUAAGUACAUCUCAAAGUGUGUGUGUA